rnacentral:rRNA from 1 species
CUGAUAGGUUGUUGCUGGCUCUCUAGGGAGUAUGUGCACACUUGUCAUCUUUAUAUCUCCACCUGUGCACCUUUUGUAGAUCUGGAUAUCUUUCUGAAUGCCUGGCAUUCAGGUUUGAAGAUUGACUUUUGUCUUUCUUUACAUUUCCAGGCCUAUGUUUUCUUCAUAUACACCAUGUAUGUUGUAGAAUGUAAUGAAAAAGGCCUUUGUGCCUACAAACCUAUACAACUUUCAGCAACGGAUCUCUUGGCUCUCGCAUCGAUGAAGAACGCAGCGAAAUGCGAUAAGUAAUGUGAAUUGCAGAAUUCAGUGAAUCAUCGAAUCUUUGAACGCACCUUGCGCUCCUUGGUAUUCCGAGGAGCAUGCCUGUUUGAGUGUCAUUAAUAUAUCAACCUCCUCAGGUUUUUACUUGUUGAGUGUUUGGAUGUGGGGGUCUCUUUUGCUGGUCUCUUUUGAGGUCGGCUCCCCUGAAAUGCAUUAGCGGAACAAUUGUUGAUUCGUUCAUUGGUGUGAUAACUAUCUACGCUAUUGACGUUAAGCAGGUUCAGCUUCUAACAGUCCAUUGACUUGGACAAAUUUUCAUUAAUGUGACCUCAAAUCAGGUAGGACUACCCGCUGAACUUAAGCAUAUCAAUAAGCGGA